AACGAACGCUGGCGGCAGGCUUAACACAUGCAAGUCGAACGCAUCCUUCGGGGUGAGUGGCAGACGGGUGAGUAACGCGUGGGAACGUGCCCUUCAGUUCGGGAUAACCCAGGGAAACUUGGGCUAAUACCGGAUACGUGCGAGAGCAGAAAGAUUUAUCGCUGAAGGAUCGGCCCGCGUCUGAUUAGCUAGUUGGUGGGGUAAUGGCCCACCAAGGCGGCGAAUCAGUAGCUGGUCUGGGAGGAUGAUCAGCCACAUUGGGACUGAACCACGGCCCAAACUCCUAGGGGGGGAAGCAGUGGGGAAUAUGGGACAAGGGGGGAAAGCCUGAUCCAGCAAUGCCGGGUGGGUGAUGAGGCCUUAGGGUUGUAAAGCUCUUUCGUCCGGGACGAUAAUGACGGUACCGGAAGAAGAAGCCCCGGCUAACUUCGUGCCAGCCGCCGCCGUAA
rnacentral:rRNA from 1 species